GGGCUUCUGCUCUUCACGUGAACGGGCUCGAUUCCAGUGGCCUAUAAUGACUCCGAGGGAGUUGGCUCUGGUCAGGUCCAGGCCUGAUCACCUGACGCCCACCUGUAAACACAGGUCCUCGGGAAACGUCGCCUCCACGGUUGCUGCGGUUCCCGC
rnacentral:other from 1 species